UGGGGAAUUUUGGACAAUGGGGGAAACCCUGAUCCAGCCAUCCCGCGUGUGCGAUGAAGGCCUUCGGGUUGUAAAGCACUUUUGGCAGGAAAGAAACGUCAUGGGUUAAUACCCCGUGAAACUGACGGUACCUGCAGAAUAAGCACCGGCUAACUACGUGCCAGCAGCCGCGGUAACACGUAGGGUGCAAGCGUUAAUCGGAAUUACUGGGCGUAAAGCGUGCGCAGGCGGUUCGGAAAGAAAGAUGUGAAAUCCCAGAGCUCAACUUUGGAACUGCAUUUUUAACUACCGGGCUAGAGUGUGUCAGAGGGAGGUGGAAUUCCGCGUGUAGCAGUGAAAUGCGUAGAUGUGCGGAGGAACACCGAUGGCGAAGGCAGCCUCCUGGGAUAACACUGACGCUCAUGCACGAAAGCGUGGGGAGCAAACAGG
rnacentral:rRNA from 1 species